AGAGUUUGAUCCUGGCUCAGGAUGAACGCUAGCUACAGGCUUAACACAUGCAAGUCGAGGGGAAACGACAUCGAAAGCUUGCUUUUGAUGGGCGUCGACCGGCGCACGGGUGAGUAACGCGUAUCCAACCUGCCCACCACUUGGGGAUAACCUUGCGAAAGUAAGACUAAUACCCAAUGACGUCUCUAGAAGACAUCUGAAAGAGAUUAAAGAUUUAUCGGUGAUGGAUGGGGAUGCGUCUGAUUAGCUUGUUGGCGGGGUAACGGCCCACCAAGGCGACGAAUCAGUAGGGGUUCUGGAGAGGAAGGUCCCCCACAUUGGAACUGAGACACGGUCCAAACUCCUACGGGAGCGA
rnacentral:rRNA from 1 species